rnacentral:rRNA from 1 species
UACGUAGGGUGCGAGCGUUAAUCGGAAUUACUGGGCGUAAAGCGCAUGUAGGUUGGAAAUCAAGUCAGAUGUGAAAUCCCGGGGCUCAACUUCGGAAUUGCAUUUGAGACUGAUAUUCUUGAGUAUGGGAGAGGGAAGCGGAAUUCCAGGUGUAGAAGUGAAAUUCGUAGAUAUCUGGAGGAACACCGGAGGCGAAGGCGGCUUCCUGGCCCAGAACUGACACUGAGAUGCGAAAGCGUGGGUAGCAAACAGG